rnacentral:rRNA from 1 species
GACGUAGGGCGCGAGCGUUGUCCGGAUUUAUUGGGCGUAAAGAGCUCGUAGGCGGCUUGUCGCGUCGUGUGUGAAAUCUCAGGGCUCAACUCUGACAUUGCAUACGAUACGGGCAGGCUUGAGUUCGGUAGGGGAGACUGGAAUUCCUGGUGUAGCAGUGAAAUGCGUAGAUAUCAGGAGGAAUACCGAUGGCGAAGGCAGGUCUCUGGGCUGACACUGACGCUCAUGCACGAAAGCGUGGGGAGCAAACAGG